AGUGAACGCUGGCGAUAGGCCUAACACAUGCAAGUCGAACGGCAGCACAGUAAGAGCUUGCUCUUACGGGUGGCGAGUGGCGGACGGGUGAGGAAUACAUCGGAAUCUACUUUUUCGUGGGGGAUAACGUAGGGAAACUUACGCUAAUACCGCAUACGACCUACGGGUGAAAGCAUGGGAUCUUCGGACCUUGCGCGAUUCAAUGAGCCGAUGUCGGAUUAGCUAGUUGGCGGGGUAAAGGCCCACCAAGGCGACGAUCCGUAGCUGGUCUGAGAGGAUGAUCAGCCACACUGGAACUGAGACACGGUCCAGACUCCUACGGGAGGCAGCAGUGGGGAAUAUUGGACAAUGGGCGCAAGCCUGAUCCAGCCAUACCGCGUGGGUGAAGAAGGCCUUCGGGUUGUAAAGCCCUUUUGUUGGGGAAGAAAAGCAGCAGGUUAAUACCCCGCUGUUCUGACGGUACCCAAAGAAUAAGCACCGGCUAACUUCGUG
rnacentral:rRNA from 1 species